rnacentral:rRNA from 1 species
AAAUUGAAGAGUUUGAUCAUGGCUCAGAUUGAACGCUGGCGGCAGGCCUAACACAUGCAAGUCGAACGGUAACAGGAAACAGCUUGCUGUUUCGCUGACGAGUGGCGGACGGGUGAGUAAUGUCUGGGAAACUGCCCGAUGGAGGGGGAUAACUACUGGAAACGGUAGCUAAUACCGCAUAACGUCGCAAGACCAAAGAGGGGGACCUUCGGGCCUCUUGCUAUCGGAUGUGCCCAGAUGGGAUUAGCUAGUAGGUGGGGUAACGGCUCACCUAGGCGACGAUCCCUAGCUGGUCUGAGAGGAUGACCAGCCACACUGGAACUGAGACACGGUCCAGACUCCUACGGGAGGCAGCAGUGGGGAAUAUUGCACAAUGGGCGCAAGCCUGAUGCAGCCAUGCCGCGUGUAUGAAGAAGGCCUUCGGGUUGUAAAGUACUUUCAGCGGGGAGGAAGGGAGUAAAGUUAAUACCUUUACUCAUUGACGUUACCCGCAGAAGAAGCACCGGCUAACUCCGUGCCAGCAGCCGCGGUAAUACGGAGGGUGCAAGCGUUAAUCGGAAUUACUGGGCGUAAAGCGCACGCAGGCGGUUUGUUAAGUCAGAUG